AGCGAACGUUGGCGGCGCGCCUAACACAUGCAAGUCGAUCGCGAAAGGACUUCGGUCCGAGUAGAGUGGCGCACGGGUGAGUAACACGUGAGUAAUCUGCCCUUAAGCUUGGGAUAACAUGCCGAAAGGCGUGCUAAUACCGAAUGAGACCACGUCCUCUGCGGAGGAUGUGAGAAAAGAUGGGGAUCCGAGAGGACCUAUCACUUGAGGAUGAGCUCGCGGCCUAUCAGCUAGUUGGCGGGUAAUGGCCCACCAAGGCGAAGACGGGUAGCUGGUCUGAGAGGAUGAUCAGCCACACUGGAACUGAGACACGGUCCAGACUCCUACGGGAGCAGCAGUAGGGAAUAUUGGACAAUGGGGGCAACCCUGAUCCAGCCAUGCCGCGUGAGUGAAGAAGGCCCUCGGGUUGUAAAGUCCUUUUGCUUGGGAACAAUAUAUUGAGCGUACCAAGAGAAUAAGUGGUUGCUAACUCUGUGCC
rnacentral:rRNA from 1 species